rnacentral:rRNA from 1 species
UACGGGAGGCAGCAGUGGGGAAUAUUGCACAAUGGGCGAAAGCCUGAUGCAGCUAUGCCGCGUGUAUGAAGAAGGCCUUAGGGUUGUAAAGUACUUUCAUCGGGGAGGAAAAAACAAAACUAAUAAUUUUAUUUCUUGACGUUACCCGAAAAAGAAGCACCGGCUAACUCCGUGCCAGCAGCCGCGAUAAUACGGAGGGUGCUAGCGUUAAUCAGAAUUACUGGGCGUAAAGAGCACGUAGGUGGUUUUUUAAGUCAGAUGUGAAAUCCCUGGGCUUAACCUAGGAACUGCAUUUUGAAACUGAAAUACUAGAGUAUCGUAGAGGGAGGUAGAAUUCUAGGUGUAGCGGUGAAAUGCGUAGAUAUCUGGAGGAAUACCUGUGGCGAAAGCGGCCUCCUAAACGAAUACUGACACUGAGGUGCGAAAGCGUGGGGAGCAAACAGGGAUUAGAUACC